UCUAGACACUAGAGUCUAGUCUCUAGACACUAGAGUCUGGUCUAUGAUACUAUUAAAUGCAGGUUCUGGUGUCUUUUAAAAAGGUAACACUCUGAAGUCCCCCCCCCCCUCCUCCCCCAACAGUCAAAAUCACCUUAAGUGCUGCUGACAAUGAGUGAUAUAAGGUUUUCUAUUUCCGUCUGAAUGUUUUUGUGAAAUAGAUGACUGCAGAUGAUUAUAGCUGCGACUUUUAAGCUGGAAAACACAAUAGGGGCAUAACAUAAAGCCUUACCUAGUCCAAGUAAAAAGUAGAUACACAUUUUACAGAAAAUGAAGAUUUCACACAUGUUUUACUUUAAAGUAUAUCUAGGCGUUUUCCAACAAAGGCCAUUUGGAGACUCCGUGUUAGGCUCUAAUGAAAGCUGACACAGAGGUAUAGGUCCGAUAUACAUAUUCACUAUUGCUGACAUUAACUGAAGCAUGAACAGAUCAUAGUGUUUUUCCCUGUUUGAAACUAAAUGUUGUGCACAUCGAACCAACAUCCACAGGUUAUCAUGGGAAUUCCUUGUUGUUGCAUUCUACCUGGUGGGCCCAUUAUACUUUAUUUUGAGGUUUUGAUAUCAUUCUGUUAACAUGAAAAACAAUUGAAACACUGUAUGACUUGAGGUGUAAUGCUGCAUUCACACCGAGAGAGAGAGAAGAGAGGAGCGAGAGACUGUAAAUAAACACUUCAUUUUCACAUAAUAUCCAAACUUUGAUUAAUAUGCAUUGAAGGACUCAAGCAGUCCUGAAGCCCGACCAUGCAGAAAGAGAGGUGAGGGGGCGGGGCUUGUGACAGGAAGCGGGACGGGUACAGGCUCGGACAGAGAGAAAGAGAGGAAAGGAAGGAUGGAUUGGAAAAGAUGAGAAGCGGAUCUGAGAGCGACGACAUGCGUCUCUGAAUUAAACUUGACCUUGCCAACAGCUGUGCUUACUGACUUAUGAGACAAUUAUGUCCCAGCAAGCUCCUAUUGGUGCCUCUCUUUAAUAGCCCCAGCUGUGUGUGUGUGUGUGUGUGUCACAAUGUAAAAAGAUCUGGAACUUGAUGACUGAAUUAAACCAAUUGGUUUCCUAUCUAGAAAGGCGUUGUGCAAUACGUUGUUGCCCCAAACAAAAUAAUAAUCACAUAAAGGUGAAUUUUAGCUUCAGCAGAUGCAAAACGUAAUGUUUUUCGUGGCCCUCUAGGUGGCGCUCGCAUAAAGCAGGGUAUGCUUUAGGGCGGGGCUUACUGUGAUUGGCUGAUACCGGCGUCUCUACGUCUCCAAAUUUGGUAACGACGGUUCAUUGGUUGCAAAGAAACCUACAUGGCGACGGAGGUAAUCCAAGAUGGCGACAAACCAACGGGUGAUGUCACGCUGACUCCGCCCACUUAUACACACGCUGUGGUUUUAAAUGUCCAUGACCAAACAGUUUGUGAAAUCUCGUUUAUACAUGAAAAAGUGAGAACAUGUCGUAUUUAAACAGACAAUGAGAAUUCCAAAGUAUACAGUAUAUAACCUUAAAUGACAUAAAUGAAUGAGAGACAAUAGUUUGAUAAAAAAUAAAAAAACAUUUCAUAUCAAUGUUUAUUCUUUUAAUAAAACAAUUGUUCCUUACGUGCAAAACCCUGUUUGGACUGUUUAGGAUUUAAAGGACUUUUCCAGACCUGGAAAUAUCCAUUUUAAAAUUCUCUGACUUUUCCAGGUUUUCCAUGGCCGUAUGAAUCUGUAAGGAGCACACAGCAGACUACAGGCCAGGCGGAUACCCUCGAAAUAUUAAAACUUUUAUUUUUUUCUAAAUAUAAUGACAUGAUGGUAUUUGAGUUCUCAGAUGCGUAGAAGGUUUUGGACGUCUAGUAAUAAAAACACAAAAGUUAUGAAAGUACAGGUGCUUGUGCAUAUAUUACUGUAUUGAUGAGGCAUUUAAAGACGUUACUUCCACAGGAAGAGGAAGGGAGGACUACAUCCCGCCUACACGUCAGCAGAAGACAUUUGAUCUGCAGGAGAACAGCAGGAGCCGAGAAUAGCAGCGAGUCAGCGGCCUCACGACGACUCACAGCAGAGUCUGAACCUCCAUAUUAAACAGGAAUCAUCUUGUGUGUGUGUGUGUGUGUGUAAUUAUAGCCUUAGUGGAAAGUGUGUCUGACUUUGUACUCUUUCCUUUUUUCUUUCCGUCCGCCUCGCAAAAGCUGCGUUGUAAUUGCUUGUUUUAUAAAGUGCUACGUAAAUAACCUUUUAGAGAUGUUAUUAUUAUCAGAUUAACGGAUUGAACCUGUGAUUACGAUUAUUAUCCAUCACCGCACGAGACUGAUGGCCUCCAUAAGAGCCCAAUAUGACAAUUACACAGCUUUGUGUGAGCCAAUCAGCUCCUUGAUGAGGCGACAGGCUUGCCCCAUCAUGCCCCCCCCCCCAACUUCCUCAUCUCCAUAACGUCAGACCAAACACCGUCACGGCUGUGUGUGAACACCGGUGUGGAUUAUUCAUGAGGUCCGAUGAAGCACCAGCUCUUCCUCAUCUGCAUCAUAGGCCCAGCUCACUUACUCUAGAGCCCCUCCCCCUCCCGCCUCCACCUCCCUUGUAUGCAAACGCACACACCACUCCUGCUUCUUGCUGCAGGACACACAUCUGGCCCGGAUUAUCAGAUUAGCAGCUGGAGAUGUUCCCCGACGGUGUGUGUGUGUGUGUGUGUCGGAGAGAGUGAAUUGGGGCACAUGGAUGGCGCUGUUGUUUUGCCCACUCACCGUCAACCUGCACAGUGUGCGUGUGUGUGUGUAACCAGCGCAGUCGCCCUCUACUCCGUCUCACUCGUUUUGCGCUUUCAGGCUGCGUGGUUGCUUCACACACACACACACACACAAACACACACACACUCAAUCCCAUCUAUCCCUGUGGUAAAUUACAGCUGGCGUGGAGGUCGUCUCACUCCGGCUGGCUGAUAGACUUCAGAUUCCUGAGCAGCAGCUGUGACGAGCUACGGCUGCUCGGGGACAGGCAAGGUCGUGGACAUCGAGGAGGAGGAACUUUGGCUCCCGGCGAGAGCUGAACGCAGGACUCGGGACGGUUUGAGCAGGAAGUGGACGAGCAGUGAUGCCCGGUGGCGUACGGUGCACGCUGCAGGAGAUGCGUGUUAUUGUCACCAACACACCGCAGGCCUCCACCACGUGUCAUCAUCACACUGAGAUUUAUAAGCUUCCCCGAGGGCCUCUCUCUCUCUCUCUCUCUCUCUCUCUCUCUCUCGGUCUAAGACGAGGUCGGCGUGUGAUGUCCACGGCCUCUCCAAAACCCCAAGAGUCCAGUCAAUGUCCCCAUUGGCCCAUUGUUCUGACGGACCAUUGUUCCCCAAAAUACAUGUUCCCCCUCAACAAACAGAAGCACGUGUGCCCCCCCCCCCCCUCCUCCACUUUGGCGCAGACAUGAUCUGCAAAUAAUAGCCUGUAUACAUGAAGUGGAUGAAGUCGUGGGGAUGCCAUCAUGUUUUUUUGGGGUUCUGAUGGAGGCAGAGUAGGGCAGGUCACAUGGGGUCACAUCAGUGUCAAUAAUUGCGCACACAACAAUUCACAAAUAUAUUUGAUUUACAAAUACAUUGGACUCGGAGGGAAGGGUCGGAUGCGCCCGUGUGAUUGGUUAAAAAUGAGGGCGUCGUCUGAUUGGCUCCUGGCAGGUCGACGUUGAAAGACAUUUGCAAAUCGAGCCGCGGCGGGAGAGUCUCAAAAACCCACAAAUGAGGAGUUAUUCAUGUGUGAAAUGUAUUUGUGAGUCCAAUUUAUUUGUAAAUCCUUCUGUGCGCAUUUGUGAAUCCUCGUGUUUGCAUGUGUGAGUCUCUCUGUGUGAAUAUACAAAUAUUGAGCCUGAUGUGACCCCAUAAGGUCAUAACUAUGACAUAAUAGGAACACAGAAAUAUUGCACCUGUGACGGUCGUGUGGUGGUUUGUUUAUGUGCUUGUUUGUUUAGAGCAACGGGCGUCGUCUGGUUCAUGGUCCAGAAAAUGUCUCGUUGGACCGAAAUCCCACAUGUCCCACUACCGGGGCUUCGGAAUAACAAAUGCCUCGGCACCGGGAAGAGGAAGAGGAAGAUCCGAUGUCAGGUCCUGGAACAGGGAUGUCGUACGUGGACAGAUUGUAAAGCCCUCUGAGGCAAAUUUGUAAUUUGUGCCAAUGGGCUCUACAAAAAUAAACUGAAUUGAAUUGAGGAGGGUGAGGAAGAGGAGGAGUUCCACAACUGAAAAACCCUUUGUCUUGGGGCGAAUCCCGGCUCCUAAACCGGUUGUCAAAUGUUCACAGGAAGACGGGACGGACUCCUUCAGCAAGGCACGAAAAUAUUCAAAUAUCCAGAAAAGAGGAAAGGAGCUCGAUGAAUCAGCAAGAGACGCAGUAUUCCAGAAGAAUGUGCGGAGUCAGCGUUCCUCUUGGGACCCCACGGACAAGCAAGUCUUUUUCUAACUGCUUUUGUUGCUUUUUUUCGUGUGUGUGUGGGGGGGGGGGGGGCAAAUUCAACAUCCACGUUCACUUUCAGAAGUCUGACUAUGAUCUACAAACACGACUUCAAUAGAGCAGCAAUCGACCAUCAUUUUCGUGAUAUGAUUAUUAAAUUGCUGAAUUUAUCCCGAGUACAAAACACAAAGAUAUUCAGUACAGAAUAAAAAUACAUGUCAUAGAUUUUAAGACAUUUUCAUUUAGGAAAGGGCUUAAAAAGCUGCUAAAUGCAUAAUAAUAUAAUUAUAAUAAUAAUAAUAAAUAAUUCACUAAACACGAUGACAGCUCGACAUUAAUCCCUCUAUUGGCGCGAGACGUGACAUCAUAACAGUUGUUAGUUGCCAGUUAACUUUCCGGCGAACGAUUCCUUGACUAUUUUGUUGCAGAUCUACUUUUAAAACAUUUAAAAUCAAAGAAAAAUACUUUCAAUAUUACCAUGAAAACACUAAUCUGGGUAAAGAUUAAUGUUCGAGACGUAAACAUCGAGCACGGUGACGACAUCGACUCAAAAAGCUGCUUCAGAUAUCGAGACAACCGGCCCAUCCAUUCAAUGUUCAUCCCAUUUUUAUAUCUCAUAUUUAAGAUUGCAUUUCACCAGGUUGCUGGUGAUUUAUUAUUUUAUAAUAAUAUCAUCAUAAAGAACAAGUCAGUCAAUUCAUAUCAAUGUAUUAAAAGAAGCAACGUCUGGGUGGAGCCUGAUGUUAUCUUAUGAACUCAAGAAACAUCAGCAGACAGUUUGUGGAUUCAUAAAAACUGAUAUUAAAUCGGUGCGACGCCAUUGGUCGAUACCAAAAGCCCAGGUUUCGCCAUCGGGACUGAAAUAGUGGGAAUGAUGCAUCUCUAUAGUUUAAAGACUCUGCCAUCCAAAACGGUUGGAUCUGUCACACACGGGCAGGACGUCGCUUUGCCUCGAAUUCGGCGUCGGCCAUCUUGGAUUUUUGUUGUUGUUGCAACCGGCGAACAUAAGCGCCGGAGGAGUGACGGGAAAAAAAGCAAAUAAAAGAGGCAUCUCCGUCCGAGCAGAUGGGAGAGCGGCAGAUGGAGCUGUUUACCUGGCACAUGGUCUGAAACCAGGGGGAAGAAGACGCCUCUGAAAGGAGAGGUAGAACCCUGUGAGUGUGUGUGGGCUCACGGCGACACACGCAUCGGCGCUCUGGCCUUUAGCCAGAGAGGAAAUAGACUUGAGUAAAAACACACAAGUCUUUUAUAGAUCUGGCCACAACUGGAGUCCAAAAAUCCAUAUUUAUUUAUCUGUCCUCCUCUUCUGUUUCUGGGCUCUGACUCGGUGCCGUUUGAUUGGCUCAUGAGAGAUCCAGCCCCAGCCCGAGGCAGCCGGAUCAUCCUCAUCACGGCAGACAGCUCCGUCAAUACUUGCGGGCAUUCAUAAUUAUAUACUCACCCCCCCCCCUCCCCCGACACAAACCGGAAUAACUCGGGCUGCUAACCAUAGCGGCCUGAACCAACACUGCCAAUAAAUAACGCUGAUUAUUGAUCUUCAAACAUCAUCUGAGUCAAUUAAACGCCACGGGCCAUUUAGAAUCACACCAGUGAUGGUUAAGCCUCGUUUGUGUCCCGUGAAGACAUCCUGGACUUCUUUCACCUUCCCAACGGAACCAGCUUCCUUCUUUACUUUAAAAAAAAAAAUCCUUAUUUUAAUCCCAAACCACAAUCUAACGAAAUAAACGUACGUUUAAAAGGUUUACUGAGAGAGACUGAGCAUGUAACGAGUCGAUUAAACAUCUAGAUUCUGGUUUUACAAAAUAAAUGUGACGACCAGAGGGUAAAAAAAAGUAAUUCAAGGUGCAGUUUUAAGUAUACUCUGAUAAUGGAAUGGAUAAUGUUUUAAAAACAAAACAGAUAAAAGACCUGUACACUUCCUGCAAAAGGGGAGUUUUAUUUUGAAAAACUUGACACGCCCUCCCUGGACUGGCGCUCGAGUGGCGCUGAGGGCCACUGACCACGCCUUUGGGAUUUGACAAACGUGUUGCAUAGAACAUUAUUUUUGCACUUUGACCGACUCACAUUCAAGGAUUGUGUUUCCAUCUCCUGUAUGAGGAUCUUUCAAUAAUAUUAAAAUAAAGUAUCUGUAUCCAUAGUAAUAUUGGUGAUUCUGGCCCAAGGGUCACGUGAUCUGAACCAGAGCAUAUAAAGCAGGGGGGCCAAUAGGGGCCCGGCCGGUUAUCAUAGCCCCUGGGCCCCAUAUUGGGUCAAUCCGGCCCUGCUGUACACCAAUAACACGAUUCAUAUUCAUCAUCUGUUCAUGCUGCCUCGGUGGAAUACCACGUCGACGGAUGUAAGAGGAAGAACAAGAAGAGGAACAGAUCCCCUUCAUGCAUUAGAGAUGAAGCUUCCUCCAUCGCGGCUUUAUUGAAUUCAGCUGCGAGCGUUUCAUAACAACAUCAAAGCGCCGUUGUCAGAUAACCAUGAAACCCAGUUUUGUCAUUAGCGAUCGGUGAUCUAAUGGCAGCGUCGAGAUAAUUACUCGCCGUUAUUAUUUCUCACUUUCGGGGGAGAACCGUCGGCAACAACGCUCACGCCCGAAAUUAACGAUGAUGAUGAGGAAAUCUGCUCGGCUAAUCGUCGGGACGGAAUGAGGGGAAAUAAAAAAGAUGUCGACCAAUCCGGGGAGGAGGAGGCUCUGGGGAGGAGGAGGAGGAGGAGGCGGCCCCGGAGGAGACUGACCCCUCCGGCCGAAGUCGUUCACAGCGAGGGAAAACAAUCGAAAUGUGACAGGGUAGAUCCCCAGACCACCUGACCUCUGACCCCUGGGCCUUAUGGCAGGGAUGUGAGCAUCACAUGACAUUUAUUAAAAGUCCCUCUACAGCAGCAUUUGUGUCCAGAAACAAUGACCCACAGACGCCAUCGUCCCAGAGCGCUGAGGCCUCGACGCGGGGGCCCUCCAGGUCGUGGUUCCCACUCUUAGUUCUACAGCUCAGAAACACGCGGCUAACCAAGACCGCCGCUCCACCGCCACCGUAUGUAUGUUGUGAAGACGGCAUUACGUCGUGAUGUAUGAUUCUACCUCUUCACUAUUUGAGGAAUUUAGUUGAAGAGAAAUUGGGAAAAGAAAAAAAACAUAAACAUGCGUUUAACAUUUGUAAAAUGAGUAGUGACUGCGGGUCAGUGGUUAGCAGGUCUGCCUUUCAACCAAGGGCUUGGUGGUUCAAUCCCCCGCCCUAUUCAAUGUGUCCUGGAGCAAGACACUUAACCCUGAGUUGCUCCCUGUAGUUGAGUCUACGGUGUGUGAAUGUCAAGUGAUGUUAAGUCAUUUUGGAUAAAAGCGUGAGCUAAAUGACACGUGAUGUAAUAAAUUAGCCCAUAAAUUAACUCUUUGACAAAUAUUUGAAUAUUUGCACUGAAUUUUUAAUACCUUGAAAAUAUAUUCAGGUCAAAACAGGUUCAUUGCAGUAAAAAUAAGCAAUUUUCCCCCAAUUUUUUUUUGCACUGAUAGAACUGUAUUUGUAUUCUAAUAAAUUGAUUGAACAUG